rnacentral:tRNA from 1 species
GCGUCGGUUGCAUAGCGGUUAGGGCGCUCGCCUACCAUGCGCAUGGUCCAGGGUUCGAUCCCCGGCCGACGUA